rnacentral:rRNA from 1 species
GACGAACGCUGGCGGCGUGCUUAACACAUGCAAGUCGAACGGAAAGGCCCUGCUUUUGUGGGGUGCUCGAGUGGCGAACGGGUGAGUAACACGUGAGUAACCUGCCCUUGACUUUGGGAUAACUUCAGGAAACUGGGGCUAAUACCGGAUAGGAGCUCCUGCUGCAUGGUGGGGGUUGGAAAGUUUCGGCGGUUGGGGAUGGACUCGCGGCUUAUCAGCUUGUUGGUGGGGUAGUGGCUUACCAAGGCUUUGACGGGUAGCCGGCCUGAGAGGGUGACCGGCCAAAUUGGGACUGAGAUACGGCCCAGACUCCUACGGGGGGCAGCAGGGGGGAAUAUUGAACAAGGGGCGGAAGCCGAAUGCAGCAACGCCGGGGGGGGGAUGACGGCCUUGGGGUUGUAAACCGCUUUCCCCUGGGAAGAAGCGGGAGUGACGGUAAUGGGUAAAGAAGCACCGGCUAACUACGU